UCCUCACCUGCUGCUUUGUGUGAUGA
rnacentral:misc_RNA from 1 species